AGAGUUUGAUCCUGGCUCAGAUUGAACGCUGGCGGCAUGCCUUACACAUGCAAGUCGAACGGCAGCACGGGGCAACCUGGUGGCGAGUGGCGAACGGGUGAGUAAUGCAUCGGAACGUGCCAUUGAGUGGGGGAUAACGUAGCGAAAGUUGCGCUAAUACCGCAUAUUCUGUGAGCAGGAAAGCAGGGGACCGCAAGGCCUUGCGCUCUUUGAGCGGCCGAUGUCAGAUUAGCUAGUUGGUGAGGUAACGGCUUACCAAGGCGACGAUCUGUAGCGGGUCUGAGAGGAUGAUCCGCCACACUGGAACUGAGACACGGUCCAGACUCCUACGGGAGGCAGCAGUGGGGAAUUUUGGACAAUGGGCGCAAGCCUGAUCCAGCCAUGCCGCGUGAGUGAAGAAGGCCUUCGGGUUGUAAAGCUCUUUCGGCCGGGAAGAAAUCGCAUGGGCCAAUACCCUGUGUGGAUGACGGUACCGGAAUAAGAAGCACCGGCUAAUUACGUGCCAGCAGCCGCGGUAAUACGUAGGGUGCGAGCGUUAAUCGGAAUUACUGGGCGUAAAGCGUGCGCAGGCGGUUUUGUAAGACAGGCGUGAAAUCCCCGGGCUUAACCUGGGAACUGCGCUUGUGACUGCAAGGCUAGAGUACGGCAGAGGGGGGUGGAAUUCCACGUGUAGCAGUGAAAUGCGUAGAGAUGUGGAGGAACACCAAUGGCGAAGGCAGCCCCCUGGGUCGAUACUGACGCUCAUGCACGAAAGCGUGGGUAGCAAACAGGAUUAGAUACCCUGGUAGUCCACGCCCUAAACUAUGUCAACUAGGUGUUGGGUGGGUAAAACCAUUUAGUACCGUAGCUAACGCGUGAAGUUGACCGCCUGGGGAGUACGGCCGCAAGGUUAAAACUCAAAGGAAUUGACGG
rnacentral:rRNA from 1 species